GGACAUGGCAUGGAACGUGUGUGCGGAAAAGUUCGAACAUCAAGUGACCCUUGAAGCGCUACAACACUUAAAUGCACUCUUUCAGGAGUAUGAGAAAAGAGGAAGACAGCUGUUGGAUAUGGAGACUUUCAAAUGCAUAAUGAAGCAGAGCAUGAGGUUACAGAAUAAAAGUACUGAACAAAUAGAACAACUUUUCAUGAAAAUAGACUAUGAAGCAGUGGGCAGAAUUCAUUGGGAUGGCUUCUGCACAUAUCUGCAGUUAGCAUAUUCGGAGCAAGCUGAUGCUUUGGCUCGACAGAAAGAGGUUUCCUUCCAGCUGCCUGCUGUGCUGCAGGGACUGUCGUACGGGGGACCCGUGCUGCGCAUUCUCUCUGUGCCUGAUGACACCUUAAUCAUGAUCAGAGAAGAUGGAGCCAUUUAUUUCUGGUCCCUGCAGCUGAAGUUGAAAAGAAGAAAGCGAGUUUUUGACAAGCCCAUCAUUCGGAAGCGCCGGUGGGUGACGGAUGCCACCAGCAUGCCACAGUACAACAAACUGAUCCUAGGAACUGGAAACCGCGAAAUCCAGCUGUAUGAGUUCUCUAACUUGGAGCCUUACUGUCAGAUUGGUGGCCUGGAAGCUGUCCCUCUGAAACUGGACUACUGGUACGAGGAUCCUGACAAGUGCCUGAUUCUCUAUGGUGAUGACCAGGCUGAAAAAAAACUUAAAAUGAAGGUAGCCUUAAAGAGUUCAUGUUGCCAUCUAGCAAAGUGAUGAGUUGUGCUCCAGAGGGAAAUAAGUUCAGAAGCAUUGGCUGUGCCUGUCUCACCUAACAUCGCCUCACCAUCCUUCAUCGGCUUUCAGAGUCUUCACGGUUUGGAAUCAGGGAUGAGCAUAAGGGAAGCUACAUUGGCAACAUGGCGACAAAAGCAAGGGAAACUCAGUUCAUCAUCAUCAUAUCACAAAGGCUGUCUCCACGAGCGACUUUCCUUGGGCUUCUUCUUUUGUUGCAUCUAGCCCAGGCUUGUGCACUUGAAGAUCAUUUGAUAAUAUUCAUCAGUGUUAUGUUCAGCAUGCUAACCGGUUUCUUAAGAAGGGCAGUA
rnacentral:lncRNA from 1 species